rnacentral:piRNA from 1 species
UAUAUUUUGAGCUCUAUUUGA